UACGAAGGGUGCAAACGUUGUUCGGAAUCACUGGGCGUAAAGGCGCGUAGGCGGCCACCGCAAGUCGACUGUGAAAUCUCCGGGCUUAACCCCGGAAAGGUCAGCCGAUACUGCGGGGCUAGAGUGCAGAAGGGCAACUGGAAUUCUCGGUGUAGCGGUGAAUGCGUAGAUAUCGAGAGGAACACCUGCGGCGAAGGCGGGUUGCUGGGCUGACACUGACGCUGAGGCGCGAAAGCUAGGGGAGCGAACGGG
rnacentral:rRNA from 1 species